GUUAUGAACGAUAUUUCGUCUUCCGGGCAGGCAAAGAAAUCCUUGUCGGGCACGAUCAGGUCGGCAAAC
rnacentral:sRNA from 1 species